rnacentral:rRNA from 1 species
UUUCUUUGCUGGCGACCGGCGCACGGGUGAGUAACACGUAUCCAACCUGCCCCUUACUCGGGGAUAGCCUUUCGAAAGAAAGAUUAAUACCCGAUAGCAUAAUGAUUCCGCAUGGCUUCAUUAUUAAAGGAUUCCGGUAAAGGAUGGGGAUGCGUUCCAUUAGGUUGUUGGUGAGGUAACGGCCCACCAAGCCUUCGAUGGAUAGGGGUUCUGAGAGGAAGGUCCCCCACAUUGGAACUGAGACACGGUCCAA